CACCGGCCCUCCCCUGCUUGGCCCUGCCACCGGCCCUCUCCACCUUGGGCCCUGCCACCGGCCCUCCUCUCCUGGGCCUGCCACCGGCCCUCUCCAUCUUGGGCCCUUCCACCAGCCCUCACCAUGUUGGGCCCUGCCACCGGCCCUCUCUAUCUUCGGCCCUUCCACCGGCCCUCUCCAUCUUUGGCCCUGCCACCGGCCCUCCCCAUCUUGGGCCCUUCCACCAGCCCUCACAAUCUUGGGCCCUGCCACCGGCCCUCUCUAUCUUUGGCCCUUCCACCGGCCCUCUCCAUCUUGGGCCCUGCCACCGGCCCUCUCCAUCUUUGGCCCUUCCACUGGCCCUCUCCAUCUUGGGCCCUUCCACCGGCCCUCUUUACCUUGGGCCCUGCCACCUGCCCUGUUUUACAGGCCAGCACCAUCACUCACUCACUUCAGUCACUCACCAAUGGCUGUUUCACUGUUAGUGGGUAGCACUUAGUAUUGUACUGGGGGCAGAGAUGCUAGGUGACCAAUAGGGCGUGUGAUGGAGCCUGUGGUACAUGAUGAAUCUAUGAGAUGAUUUCAUCUCUCCUGCUGAUGCCACAAGCUUUAUAGUUACUGGCACCUCAGCAACUCACCUUUCGGUGCAAUUACAUAGGCUGCCUGCAUCAUUUCUGAGCCAUUUCUUUCUUUUCUUUUACUUUUGGCCUGGUUUGUGCUUUUAUGACUUUUUUGUGGGUGAAUCAACAUAAUUGUGGUGCAGCUUUUGUAUUUGGUGUCAUGAUGUAAAAAAAAUAAGCCACAAAUGUAUUGCAUCUCAUUCUAUCUAGGAGAAGUUGCAAAUAUUCUGCAGGUUUUGUUAUUCUCUAGGAUUUUGGUAAAAAUCAGACCAAAUGUCUUUUUCCUUUCUUCCAUGCCAAAACGCGGACUUUUACGAGGAAUUGCAUCCAGAAUUCUGCAUACAGUAAAGCAAGGAUAGCGCCUCUAAAUGCCAAAAGAAUGUCGUUAUCCGAGAAACAAUGGCGCCUCUGGACACCGUGUGCAGACCUGGAGCAAAUAAGCAGCCUCACAUUCCAGUUGUGCAAGUAGAAAGCCAUGGAUUCAAGCCUAAGGAACCACUUGCACAAUGAAUCACACACAAACCUACUGAUCUGACUUUCCAAAUCCCACAGACAGGAAUGGGAAAUUACUUGUUUCUCCUCAUUUUCUGUGUUUAUUUCUUUUUUCCAUUUUGAUCUAAUCAUUGUUUAACUAUUGAUUCCCUUUUCCUGUAAAACUUUUAUAAAUGAAUAAAAAAAUGAAAAAGAAAAGGAAAGGUAUCUGAGUUCUUACUGACAGUUAUGGCCCAGCUAAUAACCUGGAGUUUGUUCCUAGAAAUAGUAAAUUUGUGGGAGGAUAUUAGUUACAUGUUAUAGUUAUAUAGUUAUAUUGGGCAAAGCCAGCGACAUGUUUAGCUAUUUCACUGAGGUGUAAUAUUCUAUAUUCAGAGGAGCACAGACUGGGAACUGGUGGCAGGGCUUGGAACUAGGAGUAGGCAGAACAGGCAGCUGCCAGGGAGGGAGCAAGUACCUCUUGGCCCGGUUGGUUCCCUUGGUGCAGUAGCUACAGGUAACCAUGUAGAAAAAAUGAACUUGUACUGUGCUAUUUGUAAAGUGAUGCUCGUAAUAUUUCAUGGGGGUCACAGUGCAAAGGGGUGCUGAUUUUAGGCAUUGAUUGUCAUUACUAUAGAAUUUUGCUUAGUAGAAUGGAGUUACAUUGCUAUAACAGAGCUCCAGACACUAAUAGACAUCUUUCCACACUGCAGCUUGGUAUUAUCACGAGUCAGAACUUUUCUUUUAUGGCCAGAGGAACUGCUUGAGGAAACAAUAGCAGCACGCACCUUUACUGCAAUUGAAACAUUUUAUAUCAUGGAAAUUAAAUGGAUGCAAAUAUUGUGGGUAUUGUCUCCAUUUAUUAAUGGUACUUGUGCCCUAGCACAAUCCUGCAACUUGCAUAUAGUGGCACUACCCUGAACAUAAUGGUAAUUAUAGUGCUCCCACAAACAGGCAUAGCUGCCAUCAGAAACUUUAGGGCCCUGUACAAGUUAUUUAUAUGGGGCCCCAUGAACAGAAGCACGCAGUACCAACAUUAUGGUCACGCUCCUUGUGCAAUAUAAACAGCUGAUGUUACUCUAUAAUAAGCAGUUCAUAUAAAGUUUUCCAUUGAAUAAUGUGCUAAGGCUAAUGCGUAUGGUGUAUAUUUUCAGCAAGCCGAAAAACGAUUGGCGAGAAUAUAAACCAUACGCUUUUACCUGUGGCUGCACCCAAAUGAAUGGAAUACACUGAAAUCCGCAUAAAAAUGUGAGAAAAUGCAAAGUCUCACUUUUUUUGUGGAUUUCGGCUACAUGUGCCUGCACUGAAGCAUAUUCCAUUCAUUCGGGUUCAGGCACAGGUAGGAGCGUAUGGCACAUAUUCUCAGCAUUUCUCAGCUUGCUGAAAAUAUGCGACAUACGCAAUGUGUGGCAUGAGCCUAAGAAACCUAUUAUUGGGGUUCAGUGGAUUUUGCCCUAAAAUUAACCUGCUCCUGCUCUGUGCUGUCAUUGCUUGAUAUGAAAGAUAGGUAAGUUUUUGCAUAAGUUACAUAAACUGCAGAAGUUUAGGGGCCCAAUGAUAUUGAUUUAAAAAGGAUUUUAAGACAUUUACUGCAGUCCCAUUUAGUUCAGUCCUAUCUUAUUUGUAGUAUGAAUGCACUUUAUCCUUUCUGCCUUCUGUGAUACCCAUAAAGGGAAUGGCAAUAUAGCACUGUUUACAUCUUGAAUCAUUUUAAAAUUAUCUUUUUCUUUCCAUACUUCCUUGCUGUGUGGUCCAUCUAUUACCUGUACCAGGAAGGGAAAUGUCUCCAGUACACUUAAUGAUCUUUACUGUUUUGCAUGUAUUUGAUUUCAGAUAAUUAAAAUUGACUUUUUUCCCAUCUUAUGUAUUUUGUAGAGCUAAAGGAAAGCAAGCAGAUCUUAUCAAUCACAAAGGUUUUCAGAGUUGAGAAGAUUGGUUCCCUGCCCAUAACCAUACGGUCUAUGAAAAUUAAUGGUUACAGCUGCCAAGGCUUUGGUUUUGAAGUGCUGGACUGCCAUGCCUUUUCUCUCAACCAAAACUCAUCUAGAGAAAUUAGUAUUGUGUUCAUUGCAGAUUUCACAUCUUCGUGGGUCAU